GUGAGUCGCUGGGCCUGCUCCUCAGGAAUGAGUUGGGUGUGUGAGAGCUGAGGGGCUCUUGGCCCUUUCUCCCUGCACUCCCUAAGGAGAGACCUGGAAACUUCUUGGGGAAGAAUCUUCCCCUGGCCUCCCUGAAGCUUGCUGUGCAGCCUUAUCUUUGCCCCUCUGCCCCCUGUUGGUGUGAUCCAGUUCCCAGCUGGGCCUGGUUUGCCCAACCCCAGAGCAGAGAGGUCACUGACCCUCGAGGGGUCUUGGUUUCCGCCCAUUAAAACUGUAGGGCAGGGCCCCAUGUUUGCAGAUUACGGGAACAAACUCUGCCGGGGAGAGCGGGAGGGAACGUCUCCUGCUUCCUGAGGGGGUGGGACGAGGCUAGAGGGAAGCCCAGAGGAAGAGCUCCCAACUGGAAUUCUGUCCUCUAUUCCUUACGGUGGCUGUGGAUUAGGGAAGAAGGCAUCUCCCCUUCGUUGAUCGGGGCACUGGAGGAAUCACCCUCCAGCCUCUGUUUCUCUGGGCUGCCCAAAGUUCACUGGGUCAGAACUGGAGCUGGGCUCCGGGGCUGUGGCCCUAGCUGGAAUGUGCCACAAUAGAGCCUGCCUGGGUCUGAGCCUCCAGAUAUCCAGGUGUCCUUCCAGGGCAGCUUUCUGGCUUUGGGUGUUAAUCUUCCGGGGACUGUUUGUCCUGUAUUUAAGCCCCCUUAGGGUUGGAUAGGAUGGGGAAGUGCUAGGAUGAGCUUGAAGACUCCCCAACCAAGGGUCCCUGGAUAAGACAGGAAAUAACUCAGAUGUGAAUCCCACUGCCAGUGAAAGCCUAUCCCUAACUCUCAGUAACUGUGAGCGAAUCACCCUCACCAUUUUAAUGCUGAAUCUGCAAAGUGCUUUCAGGACCUCCAAAAGGAGAUGCAGGGGUGGGGCUUCACCAGCAGCUUUCACCUCCCCGCCUGGAAGCUUCUCUCUACUGCGUGGGGAGCUGUGACUACAGGCUCCCACCUCUCUGGUCCUGGAAGGUCAUCUGAGAGUGUUGCCUUGAGGCCUAGAGCUCUGCUUUAUCUAAAUUUAAAAGGAGAUGGAAACUUAGAGAAGAGUAGAGGGUUCUGUAGUCUUGGGCAGCAAGCUCCUCUCUAGAAGGUAAGCUAGCGGAAAUGCAAAUCCAGAUGAACACAGCCUCAUACGAGUGACCUCCAGACUUUGGGGAUUGCUAAUAGCCGUUUUCUUUGAGGACUGAGCAUCAAGCCCGAAGUAUCCCUGCAGCUGCUUUAGUGGGUCCUGUCCUCCCAUGCCAAAACCUCCAAGAAAAAGGUGGUCUCUGUGCUGGGGGUCAGGGGGUUGGUGAAGAAGGCGGCAAAAGGAAGAGUGGUGAAAAAAUAGAAUGAACACUAAGAAUGGAAUAAAAGGGAAAAAAGCUGUAUUGAAGCAAAGAAGGGGCAGAGGGAGCCCGUGAGCUGAGUGGGCCAGGGACUGGGAGAAGGAGUGAGGAGGCAGGGCCGGCAUGCCUCUGCUGCUGGCCAGAGCUCUUUUCACAUUGUGCUACUGUCUGCACCUGUCACUAGCAGUGCAAUGUUAAAAGGGCAUUGGCCGUGUAGUGCUACCCAGCGCUGGCUGCCUCCUCAGCAUUGCAAUUCCUCUCCCAUCUGGGCACCAGUCAGCUACCCUGGUGGGAAUCUGGGUAGCCUCACUUGUUAGUUAUACUAAUAGCUCUCAUUUAUGGAACUACUUCUGUAUGCAGUGCUUGUGAUAGACACUGCCUCCGUUACUGUGAAACCUAAUAACUUCUGGGAGGUAACAGCCCCAUUUUAUGGAUGAAAAACUGAGGGUCAGAAAGGUUUAAACAGUUUGGCUAAGAUUGUGUAGCUCUUAGGUUGCAAAGCCUAGAUACAACCCUGUGUUAAGUCUUGACAGCUCACUCAUCUUUUUGUAGACCCAUCUGGAGAGAUCUGAAUAGGUUCUUCAAACUGGGAGAUUUCCUGAGCUGAGGGGUGGAAGGUUUUGAUGCCAUCUGCUGGUUGUAUGAGGAUAUCUUCCAAAGCCUCAAACCUUUAAGGACCAGAAGUGGUGGCAACUCCUUAGGCUAAGAAGGAUAAGCAUUCCCAGACUCAGCCCGGAAUGGAGAGUGAGUGGAAAAAGAUUAGGAGAAUCACUAUUAGGUACAGAGUAGGCCUCCUUGAGAAAAAAAGGAAUGCACCAGAAAGGAAAGGGGGUUAACUCGAGAGGAUUGCUCCCCAAAGAAAAGGACCUGUGUGCUGCUGGCAUCCCAUACCUACAGCUCCUUCCCUGGCUCAUGAGGCAUGGAAAGACCUCACUCCUUCCCUGAAUCCACUUACCUUUCUCAGCACCACUCCCUCUUGGUCACGGGGUGUUUGAUGGUAAUGCUGCUUGAGGGCACACCUGUCUGGGCAUCCAAGAUUUGGACAGCGUUGCCCAUGACUUAAUCUUAAAGAUUAAUAGGAUCCCUUGAAUCAACCCACAGAAUGAUUCUCCCAGGACCAAUUACAAGGAAAUUGAGGCCGGGUGCGGUGGCUCACGCCUGUAAUCCCAACACU
rnacentral:lncRNA from 1 species